GCAGGGUGUGGUGGCAUGCACCUGUGGUCCCAGCUACUUGGGAGGCUGAGGCAGGGGGAUCACUUGAGUCCAGGAGGUCGAGGCUGCAGUGAGCCAUGAUUGCACCACUGCACUCUAGCCUGGGUGACACAGUGAGACCCUGUCUCAA
rfam:Gorilla gorilla gorilla genomic chromosome, chr1, whole genome shotgun sequence